CUGCCAUCUGAUGACAGCUGACUUUCUUCUCCUGACUCUACUGCGUCUCUCUGAUGGAAACGGAGGAACGUUUUCUCCCUGUUUGGUCUCUGAGAUGCUGAGAGUGAAGAACCAGGCUGGCGACGGCCCACAGCUUUGUGUGUCCUUGAACCAUCUGGGCCACCGUAUAAAUAGAUCCAAUCUGAGCAUCUUCUGAGAAUAAAGACGAGGACAACCAGCUGAGACCUGCCUCCAUGAUGAACACCUGCUGAUCACCUUAUCAGACUGCUGAUUGGUUUAAAGAUCAGUAAUAGGGUUUUAUUAUGUUACCUGAGAUGAUGAAUUUACUAAUAUACAGAGUUAAUGUGUAUUUAAUCUGUUUCAGGAUCAAUGUGUUUACCUUUCUGAUCAGAGACCAGCUCUUCUCUUCUCUGAUUUGUGGGACCUCAUCAGAGAGACGUCUGUACUGGGCCUACUCAGUGGACGUAUUUUAAAAUAUAUAAUCUGAAAAAAUAUGGCAGAAAGACACAGGAAAGAAGUUCACCUGGAGAGAGGAAGCUUUCAUCAGGCUUUCAGAAGAAAACUUUCACAAGUUGGUAAAAAUGUUCCUUCUUCCUUCAGAUGAUGAUAGCAACCAGCUGCUCACACUGACUGCUGGUUUAGGCACUAAUCCGAUCUCUUAUUGAUCAAUAAAACCAUGAAACAUGAAGAUCUAAGCAGGUGUUUCCCAUUAUGCACUGCAGUAGCUGAAACACAAGAUGUUACUGCGAGUCCAGAAGACUCAGUUUAGAUCUGACUCAGCUUCAGGUUACCUGUCCUGAGACCAUGUGGCUUACACCUUUGUUUUUCAGGCAGAGAAUCACCAAACUACACUUUAAGGAUGAGACCUUUGAGCUCCAAGUCUGUUGCAGAAAUGUGAGCUCCAAUUGGCUGACUGGCAAUGGUGAUGAGGGUGAUGAAGAAGAUGAACAGACGGUGUGUUUUAGGGCUCAGAGACAUUGUUCUUCUUCCAGAGGUAUGAUCGAUGUAACUGCAAACAUCUGUGGAGAUGUUGUGUUGAACAUCACACCUUCUUCAGGUAACCUAGGUGACACACAACAAUUAUAUCACAUGACACAGGAGAAGAAAACUCCAACACAGUGAAGUCAAAUCAGCCCCUUAAGUCGAUACAGGUCCAGGUAGAUGGUCCACAUGGAAGUUAGGAUCAACUAUGAGUACUAAAAGAACUGGGCAGGAAACACACACAUACAGUAGGACAACAUCAGUAGCUGAUUACAGGUGGGAAACACCAUAGACAGUAAGUCAAGUUACCUGCACCCAGUAACAUAAAGCAGAUGUAAAGAACCAGAAGAAGAGAAGAAACAUCUGUUGUGUUUGCAGGAUGUCGGACCAGAAUGCACCGACCCGGCGGCUGAAACACGUCAGCCAAUCACAAAGCAAGUGAAAGCAGCAACCCAGUCAUCAAACAGAUGGCGCCCCCUGCUGUUCAGAGGUCAGAGGGCAGAGCUAAAGUAGACCACACAAAGCCCAGUGCACCAUGGGAAAACAGCCACGCUGUAAUGAAAGCAGUUUAUUAUUAAGAUCAUGCACACACAGUGAUUAUAGCACCUGUAAUUGUAUCGUUUCCUGUUUAAAAAAUGCCUCAAAAUAAAAUCAAGAUCUGCACAUUA